UACGGAGGGUGCGAGCGUUGUCCGGAAUCACUGGGCGUAAAGGGCGCGUAGGCGGUGCCAUAAGCGUGCGGUGAAAGCCUGGGGCUCAACCCCCGGGUCGGCCGUGCGAACUGUGGGACUCGAGCACUGUAGGGGCAGGCGGAAUUCCGGGUGUAGCGGUGGAAUGCGUAGAGAUCCGGAAGAACACCGGUGGCGAAGGCGGCCUGCUGGGCAGUGGCUGACGCUGAGGCGCGACAGCGUGGGGGAGCAAACAGG
rnacentral:rRNA from 1 species